rnacentral:rRNA from 1 species
AUGAUUCAUGGCCGGUCGGGGAUGGUCACCUGCGGUGAGCACGAGUACCUCCUCCAUAUCCUCCCUAUACUAGCACCCUUGGCGAUGAAAAUGACGGCCAGGAGAAUCCCUCCUUCACACCUUUUUUCCAUCUCUGUCAGAUUGUCCUCUCCAGCAAGCCCGAAGGCCAACCUUAAUACUGGACCUCGAGAGGGGCAUGUGGUCAACCAUGCCGGAGGACGCAGAGGAGUUGUUUGGGAAUGUUAUCAUCAGAGGACCCAAGAAGCAGCCCACCACGGAUGCAUGGACCAACCACACAAGUCCAUUCUUGCAAUCCAUCUGUGGCGAGGGUUCAUGACAGACAAGCCAAUAGAUUUGGGGGUCCACUUCCCGGUGAAACAAAUGUUCAUUGCGGACAAUACAAAGACGAUGAUUGGUACAAUGAGGAUGCAAGGUUGCACCUUCGAGCUCAAAAUUUGA